rnacentral:rRNA from 1 species
AACGAACGCUGGCGGCAGGCCUACCACAUGCAAGUCGCACGCCCGAGCAAUAGGGAGUGGCGCACGGGUGCGUAACGCGUGGGCACAUGCCAUUGAGUGCGGGACAACAUCGGGGAACUGAUGCCAAUACCGCGUAAUGACUCCGGUACAAAGAUUUAUCGGUCAAGGAUUAGCCCGCGUCUGAUUAGCUAGUUGGUGAGGUAAUGGCUCACCAAGGCGACGAUCAGUAGCUGGUCUGAGAGGAUGAUCAGCCACACUAGGACUGAGACACGGCCCAGGCUCCUACGGGAGGCAGCAGUGAGGAAUAUUGGGCAAUGGGCGCAAGCCUGAUCCAGCCAUGCCGCGUGAGUGACGAAGGCCUUCGGGUUGUAAAGCUCUUUCAGAUGCGAAGAUAAUGACGGUAACAUCAGAAGAAGCCCCGGCUAAAUUCGUGCCAGCCGCCACAGUAA